rnacentral:rRNA from 1 species
UUGGAGGGCAAGUCUGGUGCCAGCAGCCGCGGUAAUUCCAGCUCCAAUAGCGUAUAUUAAAGUUGUUGCAGUUAAAAAGCUCGUAGUUGAAUUUCGGGAUCAGAUUGUCGGUCGUGCCUCGGUACGCACUGGCAUUAUUGGUUCCUACCUUCUGAAGAACCGCGAUGUCAUUAAUUUGGUGUCGUGGGGAAUCAGGACUGUUACUUUGAAGAAAUUAGAGUGUUUAAAGCAGGC